AUGGUAGCUUGCUACCGUUUGUUUCUAGCGGCGGACGGGUGAGUAACGCGUGAGCAACCUGCCUUUAUCAGGGGGAUAACGCAUCGAAAGAUGUGCUAAUACCGCGUAAGACCACAGCUUCACAUGGAGCGGGGGUCAAAGGAGCAAUCCGGAUAAAGAUGGGCUCGCGUCCGAUUAGCUAGUUGGUGAGAUAACAGCCCACCAAGGCGACGAUCGGUAGCCGGCCUGAGAGGGUGAACGGCCACAUUGGGACUGAGACACGGCCCAAACUCC
rnacentral:rRNA from 1 species